GCCGGCAGCUAGCUCUCUGCAACUCUCACAUGGUCACCCACUGAAGCUAAGCAGGGCUGUGCCUGGUCAGUACCUGGAUGGGAGACCACAUGGGAAAGCUAGGUUGCUGCUGGAA
rfam:Danio rerio chromosome 2 genomic contig CTG124, GRCz11 reference primary assembly.